CCGGCGACCGGCGCACGGGUGAGUAACACGUAUGGAACCUGCCCGCAGCAGGGGGAUAAGCGGAAGAAAUUCCGUCUAAUACCGCGUAACAACGUUGGGAGGCAUCUCCCGAUGUUUAAAGAUUUAUCGACUGCGGAUGGCCAUGCGGCGCAUUAGCUAGUCGGCGGGGUAACGGCCCACCGAGGCGACGAUGCGUAGGGGUUCUGAGAGGAAGGUCCCCCACACUGGUACUGAGACACGGACCAGACUCCUACGGGAGGCAGCAG
rnacentral:rRNA from 1 species